rnacentral:lncRNA from 1 species
AUGUCCAGCAGCAGAUCUCUGAGUCUGACCUCCAUCACCGACUCGGCCGCAGUGCACUCUGGGAAACGCUGCUCCUCUGAGUGUCUGUACUUGUUCUCCUCUCACUCCUGUAGAGCCGCGGUGAUCCGCUCUCGCUGCCUGACACAGCGCCUCCUUCAGGCGUUUCUCUCGGUUCCGCUCGAGUUUCAGACUCUGCAGGAGCGCUCAGCGUUUCCACCGAGGAGAAGAACCCCAGCG